GCCUGGGUGGCUCAGUCGGUUGAGCGACUGACUUCGGCUCAGGUCAUGAUCUCACGGUUUGUGAGUUCGAGCCCCACGUCGGGCU
rnacentral:tRNA from 1 species